rnacentral:rRNA from 1 species
UACGGAGGGAGCUAGCGUUGUUCGGAAUUACUGGGCGUAAAGCGCACGUAGGCGGCUAUUCAAGUCGGGGGUGAAAGCCCGGGGCUCAACCCCGGAACUGCCCUCGAAACUAGGUAGCUAGAAUCUUGGAGAGGCGAGUGGAAUUCCGAGUGUAGAGGUGAAAUUCGUAGAUAUUCGGAAGAACACCAGUGGCGAAGGCGACUCGCUGGACAAGUAUUGACGCUGAGGUGCGAAAGCGUGGGGAGCAAACAGGAUAGAA